CGUACAAGGAGGUGAGUGCACCCAUUAACAUAUAGGUCGAUAUCAUUAAGCUUUGGCUUGGAUGUUAGACAGCUGAUUGAGAAAGCAAAUUAAAGGAAAAUACGUUCUCUAUGAAAAAUACUACAACUGCAAAGUUCAAUGGCACCUUUAUUUCCCAUCAGUCCUUGUCUGCUUCUGGGCAGAAGGAAAAGAAAUCACAACCAUGCUGAAAUCCUCCAGGACUUCCCAAGGAGACCACCUAUGAGGAAAGUGAUGGGGUGCUAAUGGACCAGCGGGAAAUAACAUGGCUUCCUGAGGGAACACAAAAUGGAGAGGAGUUGGAGGAGGUGGGCCAGGAGAAGGAGGUCUGGCCAUAUCUGCUGAGACUGCUGCCCCCACGACCCAGAGCUGGACAAGUGUCAGAAGACAGAUGAAUGGAUGGAUGGGCUCUCAAAUGACCAAGGGCACCUAGAUUGAAGCCCUCUUUUCUCCCUCUUUUAUCUCCUGUUUUUGGUCUCUCACACACACACAC